ACAUUGGAAGGGUCUUUUUUUGACGAUAGCUUUAACCAACCUGAGAUCUGAGCAGUUGGGGAGUUGAGGGAUGUGGAAGAAGUUCAUAGGACCAAACAAAAGACCAAGGAGUUGUUCUCAGAAAGGACCAGGGCUCAGCAAGAUUAGCCAUCACCCAGGCAACAGCAGAGACAUCCCGGGAACUGAGGAACUGGCCAGCCCUGGGCUUUAUUUCCUGUUACUUUGUGGUGUAGUCAAAGUCUGUAGAGGAAUUCUAAUCCAACAACAUGGCUGCUCUGACUGGAAUACAGACACACCCUGAGUACACACCUUUAAUCCUAGGAGACAGAGGUGAGCAAAUCUCUGAGUUCAAAGCUAGCAUGGUAUAGAGCAAAUUUCAGGUAAAGAAAAGUUCAGGUUCAGGCAUGGCGAUACACACCUUUAAUUCCAGGACUCGGGAGACACAGGCAUGCAGAUAUCUGAGUUCUGGUAAGUCAGUUCAGCUGAGUCAGCGAUUUGAGCGGCAGUUCAAGAAGCAGAUUUUACUAGGCCGGUUUUACAGAGACAGGUUGCAGAGAGAACAAACUAGGCACAAGUGAAGACUGAACGAGCCAGAGAAUAGGAGCAAGAAGAUUAAAAGAGAUCAUUAUAGUUAAUUUGAGGCCAGGCAAAGCAAAAAGUCAGAAGCUAAGAGAAGCUGGUUUGAAUCGGUCAACUUGGAGAGGAAUUUGAGCCAGAAUAGCUGAGUUGAACCAGCCAGCCAGAGCUCAGGAAGAGUUAGAAAGCCUUGGAGACAACAAUUACAAUAAAAGAUACCUUUACAAAGUCUAUAAAAGAAAUGGAACUCCGGGGCUUCACCUGCACCAAGCUGGUACACUUUUAUAUUGGCCCAGAAAAAUCAGGUCACUUUAUCUAUCUCCCCCACCUGUAUCCCCUGGGGAUGGGUAGAUUAUCUAAAAUGGUAAGUCCUUCCUACUGCAGGGGAAGUAAGCAGCCCCAGGCCUGGGACUUGAAGAAUGACUGAAGUUGAGCCUGUGUGGCCUGGAUGACGUACAAACGGGAAGCAGAGUGGACACCAGGUGAGCCACUGAGGGCCUCCCACCCCUGGCUGGGAGGCUCCUGGAGUUCAAGGACUCUCACGCAGGGUGUCCCCACUUUGUCUUCUACAGCAUGAGGGCUGCCACGAAAAGCCCAAAGCCAUGUUUAAAAACCUGAUAAGAACUUUUUGAACACGUGUUCAAAAAUUAAAGCAUAAUUUUAAAAUAAAG
rnacentral:lncRNA from 1 species